rnacentral:rRNA from 1 species
GGUUGUAAACCCCUUUCAGCAGGGGACGAAAAUGACGGUACCUGCAGAAGAAGCCCCGGCCAACUACGUGCAGCAGCUGCGGUACACGUAGGGGGCAAGCGUGUCCGGAUUUAUUGGGCGUAAAGAGCUCGUAGGCGGUUGCGUAAGUCGGAUGUGAAACUCAGGGCUCAACCCGGAGACGCCAUCCGAUACUGCGCUGACUAGAGUCCGGUAGAGGAGCAUGGAAUUCCUGGUGUAGCGGUGAAAUGCGCAGAUAUCAGGAGGAACACCAGUAGCGAAGGCGGUGCUCUGGGCCGGAACUGACGCUGAGGAGCGAAAGCGUGGGUAGCAAACAGGAUUAGAUACCCUGGUAGUCCACGCCGUAAACGUUGGGCACUAGGUGUGGGGCUUCCUUAACGGGCUCCGUGCCGUAGCUAACGCAUUAAGUGCCCCGCCUGGGGGGUACGGCCGCAAGGCUAAAACUCAAAGGAAUUGACGGGGGYCCGCACAAGCGGCGGAGCAUGUUGCUUAAUUCGAGGCAACGCGAAGAACCUUACCUGGGUUUGACAUGCACGGAAAAGCCAUAGAGAUAUGGUGUCCUUCGGGGCUGUGCGCAGGUGGUGCAUGGCUGUCGUCAGCUCGUGUCGUGAGAUGUUGGGUUAAGUCCCGCAACGAGCGCAACCCUUGUCCUAUAUUGCCAGCACGUAAAGGUGGGGACUUGUAGGAGACUGCCGGGGUCAACUCGGAGGAAGGUGGGGACGACGUCAAGUCAUCAUGCCCCUUAUGCCCAGGGCUGCAAACAUGCUACAAUGGCCGGUACAAAGGGCUGCUAUACCGCGAGGUUGAGCGAAUCCCAUAAAGCCGGUCUCAGUUCGGAUUGGAGUCUGCAACUCGACUCCAUGAAGUCGGAGUCGCUAGUAAUCCCGGAUCAGCAAUGCCGGGGUGAAUACGUUCCCGGGCCUUGUACACACCGCCCGUCACACCACGAAAGUCGGCAACACCCGAAGUCAGUGGCCUAACCCCUCGGGGAAGGAACUGCCGAAGGUGGGGUUGGCGAUUGGGGUGAAGUCGUAACAAGGUAACC